rnacentral:rRNA from 1 species
AUGGUGAAGGUGAAGAAGGAGGGACCCUGCUGCCAUUGCCGAGUCAUGAGCAGUCCUCUCUGGCGACACGGGCCACCGGAGAAGCCGGUGCUCUGCAAUGCGUGUGGGACGAGAUGGAGGAAAAAGGGUACACUGGACAACUACACACCAGCACCACAAGUGCAGAGGAAACAACCCAAUAAAACGCCCAUCCGCACAACAGUGAAGAAAGAACCAUCUUCUCAUCACAACUCCUUGAAGACAGGGGAUGCUGCUGACACAAGCAACAGUCCAUCUGGUUUCGGAUCGGCGCUAUCGUAUUCAGGUUCGGCGCAAUCACAUGCCCGGGAGCCACUGGUACCAUCAAGAAAAAAGAGUUGCAUCGGUCGUCGUAAGCCGUCAACGGUGGAAGCGCUUGCAGAGGAUCUCAACUCCAUAAUGCAUGAAGAGCAGUUAUGCCCUGGUUCAGCGGUUCGUACCAUUCCAGGAUCCUCAGACGAAGACCUACUGAUUUAUCAUGUCGACACUCCCGCUAGCUGCUUUGAGAUUGGUUAUGGAAGCAUGCUUCUUAGACAUCCAAACUCAGGAUCAGAAGCAAAUUCUGUUCCUGCACAUAGCAAGUCAUAUGUGACAAGUCAGUCCUAUUCGGGGCCUGCCUCAUUUACUCUGCAUAGUGGAAGCAACGGAGCGAGCAACUCAAAUGCCGCAUCUGAGAAGCUAAUGUGGUCACAUGAGAGUUCUAGGAGGCAUGAACUUCAUUGUUCGAAGCAGCAUAUCCUGGAGAGCAAUGAAGUAGGAGGAAGAGGAAACGCCGGUGGCGCUUACAGAGGCCUUACCAAGUCCACUAUGAAGUCUCUCAGACGACUUUAUGAAAGCCAGCCUCAAAACUUCACAGAUGCAGAAGUGAGAGGAGGAAGCCUUCUUCUAUAUCUGGGGCUAUGGCUUCUUCUCAGUUGA